AGCACCAUGCAUGCUCUUUUUUUACAUUUACAUUCAUACACAAAAAUCAAGCUGCUUUUUAUCUCCAAUCUCUUCUUUUUCUUUCUCUUCUCACCUUAUUAGUACAAACCCACUUGUUUGUGUCAAAUUUAGGCUAAUUUUGGGGCAAUUUGAAGAAAUAAGGAAAAAAGGCAAUUGAACAUUGAAGAAGAGGAAAAAUGCAGUAUCCAUUUUUUUAAAAAAAUCCUUCAAACCCCACCUUCCUAUCCAUUCCGAACCACUUCAUUUAUUAGAGAGAACUGGCUGAUCCUCACACCUAAGUAAAUCCAUCACUCACAAAUAUCCCACUUCCACCACACACCAUUUCAAGAUUCCAUUUUUAUUUUAAUUUUCCCACAAAAACUUCAAUUCUGACUAAAAAGGUGUGGAGAUGCGUGCAAUUGUUGGUGGGGUGUUUUUAACUAUGGCCUUGCUGCUGAAUUUCGGAUUUUGCCACUUGCAGGAGAUGAUGGUGCCGGCGGCGGUGGAGGCGGAGACGAUCAUCGGCCGGAGGAGGCUGGGGAGCUUUCAGAUAUGCGCUCUCUGCACUUGCUGCGGCGGCGGAAGCAGAAACUACUGUGUGUCGACGCCGUGUUGCUAUGCAAUCAAUUGCAAUAUCCCAAACAGACCCUUUGGCUUUUGCUCUUUCACUCCCAAGACUUGCAAUUGCUUCGGAUGCCAUCUCUAAUCUUCUUGUAAUUAUUCGUGGUAAGUAUCAUAAAUGUGUCAUUGUUAUUACAAUUACUAUUAUAUUUGAAGUUUAUGAAUAGGGGUAA